GCCUGGGUGGCUCAGUUGGUUAAAGCAUCUGACUUCAGCUCAGGUCAUGAUCUCAUGGUUUGUGAGUUUGAGCCCCACAUUAGGCU
rnacentral:tRNA from 1 species